AAAAUAGUGAACUUCCCCUUUAAGUUAAUUGUUAACAUAUUCAAAACGUUGUUCGCUACUUGUGUAUUCAGUAUGUUGUAGUAUGUUGUUUCUACCUAUAGGUUCUAUAGGGUGCCGUUCUGGGUGGCAGUUUCUACCUAUAGGUUCUAUAGGGUGCCAUUCUGGGUGGCAGUUUCUACCUAUAGGUUCUAUAGGGUGCCGUUCUGGGUGGCAGUUUCUACCUAUAGGUUCUAUAGGGUGCCGUUCUGGGUGGCAGUUUCUACCUAUAGGUUCUAUAGGGUGCCGUUCUGGGUGGCAGUUUCUACCUAUAGGUUCUAUAGGGUGCCGUUCUGGGUGGCAGUUUCUACCUAUAGGUUCUAUAGGGUGCCGUUCUGGGUGGUAGUUUCUACCUAUAGGUUCUAUAGGGUGCCGUUCUGGGUGGUAGUUUCUACCUAUAGGUUCUAUAGGGUGCCGUUCUGGGUGGUAGUUUCUACCUAUAGGUUCUAUAGGGUGCCGUUCUGG